AAUUUGCUUCCUGUCCCGUUAUAAAUCCAAAUCCAAACUCAUAAAGACAGGAAGGCUGACUGACGUUCACAUAAACUAAUCACCCUCCGAGUUCCCAUUUGAGCGACAGGCACUGCAGCCAAUGACAGCAGGCGUCAGUGUUAGGUCUGAGCUGCGAUAGGCUGGAGGAAAUCGCCACAUGACCAGCCCCUCCUCUUCCGCUCCGUCGCCAUGGCGGAGAUCAGCGAGUCGCUUCUGUCGGUGUCGCCGGCCUCGGCGCCCACAAGGACGGGUGUGAUUCCCCUUCGCGCCUCGGUGGGUCUGUUUCGGUGCCGUCUGUGGUGGCUGACGAAACAUGCUUUGACAGGGAGCGAGCGAGGUCCAAUGACUACAACUCCCAGAAGGCCCCACUGAUGACGUUGUGGUGUUGUUUAGGGCUCUCUGCAGUGUUUCCGGUGGUGGCCAGUGCUGUUGCCGUGACAACACGACUAGUUUCCGCAAAGGAUGUGUUCUGUAAAAACAGAUGAUGGUCGCCCAGGAGGCGCCGAUUUUCUUCAGCCUCUCAAAGAAGCAGAGAUGCUGCUGAGCUUUCUUGGCGAUAGUGUCCUUGUGGCUGGACAAGGACAGGCUGUCAGUGGUGUUCACUCUCAGGAGAUUGGAGCUCUCAACCCCCUUAUCCUCUGCCGUUGAUGUAAACAGGAAUGUCGGCAUCGCCCCGGCUGACUUCCUGUUGUCAGUAACCAGCUCUAUUGUGUUGGUGAAAUGGAGGGGGUGGGGAGUGUUUAUACCAGGUCACAAAGCUCUCCAGCUCCGACCCGACACGCGGGUGAAGAAGGUUUACUGGAGUAAAUUCCAACCGUGUGAAAACAGCACUGGCUCUGUGAACACGGGUGGAACUGUCCAGACGGACUGAGGGAUCUAUUUCCGCGCUUUCCCCGAAACUCGUCCUUCUCUCUCACUUUUCUCCCUUUCACCUUCCUCUCUCUAGUCUCUCUCCGCUUCUCCUCUCUCAUCCCAAACUCUACUAUCCCUCCCCUCACUCUCCUC